rnacentral:rRNA from 1 species
GACGAACGCUGGCGGCGUGCUUAACACAUGCAAGUCGAACGGAAAGGCCCUGCUUGCAGGGUACUCGAGUGGCGAACGGGUGAGUAACACGUGGGUGAUCUGCCCUGCACUUCGGGAUAAGCCUGGGAAACGGGGUCUAAUACCGGAUAGGAGCCAUUUUUAGUGUGAUGGUUGGAAAGUUUUUUCGGUGUAGGAUGAGCUCGCGGCCUAUCAGCUUGUUGGUGGGGUAAUGGCCUACCAAGGCGGCGACGGGUAGCCGGCCUGAGAGGGUGGACGGCCACAUUGGGACUGAGAUACGGCCCAGACUCCUACGGGAGGCAGCAGUGGGGAAUAUUGCACAAUGGGCGCAAGCCUGAUGCAGCGACGCCGCGUGGGGGAUGACGGCCUUCGGGUUGUAAACUCCUUUCGCUAGGGACGAAGCUUUUUGUGACGGUACCUAGAUAAGAAGCACCGGCUAACUACGUG